UUUUUUUUGGCCAAAUCUGUAUUUAAUUUUUUACAAAGAAUAUAUAGCAUUUGUCUAUUUUUUUAAAUACAUAAUAAAAACUUGGGUUUUUAAAAACCCAAAUAUUUGUUUUAUAAUUUUUAAAAGGUCAUUUCCAUUUAAAUUUUUUUAAAAAGAAUGAAAGAAACUAGGGUUUAAAAAAUUUUAUAAUGACUUAACACAAUAGUUUUUUGGUUUUUCUUUUUUUUCUUUUUGCUUCCAAAUCUUUUUGUGAUGGAAUCCCUACAUGGCUCCUCCAGUUACCAAGUGGCACUUCUGUGACUAAAACAAGGUGUAGGGGCCUCCCCCACCAGCCCCCCAUCCUCCACCUCAGGUAAUCAUUAGGUACUUUGUAAGACCCUUGGGGGUCUUGUUGGGACCAGCAUGAAAGCUAGAACCAGUGUGAAACCACUGUUGUAGAUUAUUUCAUGGUAUAAAAAAAACAUUAAUGUUUUACCUUAAAAC
rnacentral:lncRNA from 1 species